GGAGGGUACAGCUCAGGGGUAGAGUGCGCGCUUGGCAUGCACGAGGCCCUGGGUUCAGUCCCCAGCACCUCCA
rfam:Camelus ferus unplaced genomic scaffold scaffold325, whole genome shotgun sequence.